rnacentral:misc_RNA from 1 species
UCCUGCCUUCAUGGUCACAUCAC